AAAGUGUGCUUGGAUAUUGACUCUCUUAAAUGAUAGAAUGAUAUAUGUAAAUAGUAGCAUUAUACUAAAAUGGAAACAGUGUCAUGAAUGCAACAUAUAAUUGUAUAAUUGUAACAUUGUUAAACUAUCUGUUGUUUACACAGGGCCAUUUUCAAAUAUCUCAGAAUUAAAAGGUGUCUCGAGUGGAGGGGAAAUAGGCGAGGGUGAGGCUGUUUUAAUUUCUCAGGAGAACAGAAAUUGGACAGAGGAGGAGAGAGUAAAAAUGAUGCAAUCUGCCCUGCUGACUGAAUUAACUACAAAGACCAAAGAGCUCGAGCAGAUGAAACUCGUCGUUACUGACAGAGACAAUCAGCUUCAAAAGAAAAACAGACUUCUGACAGAAACUCUUCAGAUGAAAGAAAAGGAACUGGAAGAGAAAAAUCAACAUCUUAUAGAGCUACAAAAAGAACUGAGACAAAGCACAGAGAAAUUAGAAGAGAAUCUGAAAAAUACAAAUGAAAGAUUAGAAAUUGUUACUAAAGAGCUUCAGGAAAAAAACACACAGCUGGAUAAAAACAACAACCUGCUGAAAGAAAAAGAAAGAGUCCUGGAGAAAACACAGAAACAUGUGGAAAGCAGUAAAGAACAGCUGGAGACACUGAGAAAGGAGCUGCAGGAGAAAGAGAGAGAACUGGAGAAGAAAGAGAAAGAGGUAGAAAUCAGUAAAGAACAGCUGGAGACACUGGGAAAGGAGCUGCAGGAGAAAGAGAGAGUACUCACAGAAAAUGUAAAAACA